rnacentral:misc_RNA from 1 species
UAUUUUUAUGAUUUUUUUUUUUUUGGUUCAUACUAUUGUCAAGUUGCAGUAGCAGUGAACGUCAGUAGCUUAAAUGCUUAAUUGCCGUGGGAGAAACUCUUGUAGAGCCGCAAUCUUUGUUUUUUGACAUAACUAGAUUGGAGUUCAUAUUCAUUAUUGUAAACUCAAUAGUGUUUUUGGUAAUUACGCAAGGGUAUUCUCGGUAGCUUUUGCUUAUGAGAUACAUUCAAGGUAAAUAAUUUUGAAUUUGCAGUAAGAGUCAACAUUAGUAGCUUAAUUGCCGUGGGAGAAACUC